rnacentral:rRNA from 1 species
UACGUAGGGGGCAAGCGUUGUCCGGAAUCAUUGGGCGUAAAGCGCGUGUAGGCGGCUAGGUAAGUCUGCUCUGAAAGCCCGGGGCUCAACCCCGGGAGGCGGGUGGAUACUGUCUAGCUCGAGUCCGGAAGAGGAGUGUGGAAUUCCUGGUGUAGCGGUGAAAUGCGCAGAUAUCAGGAGGAACACCAAUGGCGAAGGCAGCACUCUGGGACGUGAUUGACGCUGAGACGCGAAAGCGUGGGGAGCAAACAGG